GGAGUAGUGGCUUGUACACAAAAUGUUUUGCGUUUCACAUAUGGAACAGUUUCAAGGGAACUUGUGCAUAUGUCUCCUGCCACUAAAAUGUACUGUGUGUCAUUUACAAAAUACUUUGGAUACGCAAAACACAUAGUCUUUAUUCAUUCUCAACAUCAGGGUCUCCCCUAAGGCACUUGGGCACCUGACCUGAGCCACAGUGAGGUACCUCCUCCCCUCAGCCAGG